rnacentral:rRNA from 1 species
GAUGAACGCUAGCGAUAGGCUUAACACAUGCAAGUCGAGGGGCAGCAUGGUCUUAGCUUGCUAAGACUGAUGGCGACCGGCGCACGGGUGCGUAACGCGUAUGCAACUUGCCUCACAGAGGGGGAUAACCCGUCGAAAGACGGACUAAUACCGCGUACACUUGGGAUAGGGCAUCCUGACCCAAGGAAAUGAAAUUAGCUGUGAGAUAGGCAUGCGUCCCAUUAGCUAGUUGGUGAGGUAACGGCUCACCAAGGCGACGAUGGGUAGGGGAACUGAGAGGUUGACCCCCCACACUGGUACUGAGACACGGACCAGACUCCUACGGGAGGCAGCAGUGAGGAAUAUUGGUCAAUGGGCGAGAGCCUGAACCAGCCAAGUCGCGUGAAGGAUGACUGUCUUAUGGAUUGUAAACUUCUUUUAUACGGGAAUAACAAGAGUCACGUGUGGCUCCCUGCAUGUACCGUAUGAAUAAGCAUCGGCUAACUCCGU